rnacentral:rRNA from 1 species
GGGGGGGGGGGGGGGGGGGGGGGGGGGGGGGGGGUCGGGCGGGGGGGGCGGGGGGGGGGGGGGGGGGCGAGGGGCGGACGGGUGAGGAAGACGUGAGGAACCUGCGCUUGACGUUGGGGUGACUGCAGGUAACUGGGGCUAAUACCGGAUAGGAGCGCCCGCUGCGUGGUGGGGGUUGGAAAGUUGCGGCGGUUGGGGAUGGACUCGCGGCUUAUCCGCUUGUUGGUGGGGUAGUGGCUUACCAAGGCUUUGACGGGUAGCCGGCCUGAGAGGGUGACCGGACACAUUGGGACUGAGAUACGGCCCAGACUCCUACGGGAGGCAGCAGUGGGGAAUAUUGCACAAUGGGCGGAAGCCUGAUGCAGCAACGCCGCGUGCGGGAUGACGGCCUUCGGGUUGUAAACCGCUUUCGCCUGUGACGAAGCGUGCGUGACGGUAAUGGGUAAAGAAGCACCGGCUAACUACGUG